rnacentral:lncRNA from 1 species
GCACACAGUGGGAGCUCUAUCCAUGCACACAGUGGAGGCUCAUGUCCAUGCACACAGUGGAGGCUCAUGUCCAUGCACACAGUGGGAGCUCUAUCUGUGCACACAGUGGGAGCUCUAUCCAUGCACACAGGGGGAGUUCUAUCCAUGCACACAGUGGAAGCUCAUACCCAUGCACACAGUGGGAGCUCAUACCCAUGCACCCAGUGGGAGCUCAUAUCCAUGCACACGGUGGGAACUGAUAUCCAUGCACAUAAAGCUGAUGAUAUCCAUGCACAAAGUAAGAGCUCAUAUCCAUGCACAGAGUGAGAGCUCAUUAUGUGCUUAUACCUACAUAAUCAAGCCAUAUUCAUGCACACAGUGGAAGCUCAUAUCCAUGCACAUAAUGGGAGCUCACAUCCACACACACAGUGGGAACUCAUGUCCAUGCACACAGUGGCAACUGAUAUCCAUGCACACAGAGCUGAUGAUAUCCAUGCACAUAAUGGGAGCUUAUAUCCAUGCACAGAGUGAGAGCUCAUUAUGUGAGAGCUUAUACCUACAUAAUCAAGCUCAUAUCCAUGUACAGAGUGGAAGCUCAUAUCCAUGCAUAUAAUGGGAGCUCAUACCUCUGCACACAGUGGCAGCUCAGUGAGACAUCCACACACACAGUGGGAGCUCAUAUCCAUGCACACAGUGUGAGCUCAUAUCCAUGCACACAGUGGGAGCUCUAUCCACACACACAGUGGCAGCUCAUAUCCACACACACAGUGGGAGCUCACAUCCAUGCACACAGUGGGAGCUCUAUCCAUGCACACAGUGGCAGCUCAUAUCCAUGCACACACUGGGAGCUCUAUCCAUGCACACAGGGUGAGCUCUAUUCACACACACAGUGGGAGCUCAUAUCUAUGAACACAAUGGGAGCUCACAUCCAUGCACACAGUAGAAGCUCAUAUCUAUGCACACAGUGGGAGCUCUAUCCACAGACACAGUGGGAGCUCUAUCCAUGCACACAGUGGGAGCUCUAUCCAUGCACACAUGGGAGCUCUAUCCAUACACACGGUGGGAGCUCUAUCCACGCACACGGUGGGAGCUCUAUCCACGCACACAGUGGGAGCUCUAUCCAUGCACACGGUGGGAGCUCUAUCCAUGCACACGGUGGGAGCUCUAUCCAUGCACACAGUGGGAGCUCUAUCCACACACACAGUGGGAGCUCUAUCCAUGCACAUGGUGGGAGCUCUAUCCAUGCACACGGUGGGAGCUCUAUCCACACACA